AGACUCAAAAAAAUCAAGUUUAAAUUUAUGUUACAGUUUGUUGGGCUCAAGUGGCUUGUGAUUGUAUUUUUAAGAUUUAUAAUCUAGUUUCUUUAAGAUUUAUAAUCUAGUUUCUUAAAGGAGAAGGAAAAAGAACUGCCUAACAGUUAUACAUUUUUGGCUGGGUGAGACUGCCUCCAACAUGGAAACAAGUAUCACACAAAAAGGGACUUAGUUGAAUGUUGUAUGAUAAUUUGUGGAGGGCAUAAAGGAACAGAAUAAACCUCUUAAAACUGUCCUCUGGGUAUUCUGAAACUUCCCCUUUGUUACUUACAUUUAUUAAAAGAGCCAAAAUAAUGCCUAGCCCAGAUGAGGUACCCCUUAUUUUGGGAUCAUAAAACCAGACUAAGAAUCCAGGUGAAACUGGGACUGCUAUAGCCCUGGCUCUACAUGAUCACCUGUCCCUGUGCUCUCACUUAAUAUGAGACAUGUAUUUGGAACUCUGAUACAGAAAGCAUAUCUAAGAUUAGAUUCAUUUAUGAUUUUCAAAUUUUUGUCAGAAACACACAAGAAAAAUAAUUUGUCACACUCAUACGUACACAUGAAUGUAUGCGUACACACCCCCCUGUGCUCUCACUUAAUAUGAGACAUGUAUUUGGAACUCUGAUACAGAAAGCAUAUCUAAGAUUAGAUUCAUUUAUGAUUUUCAAAUUUUUGUCAGAAACACACAAGAAAAAUAAUUUGUCACACUCACACGUACACAUGAAUGUAUGCGUACACACCCCCUUUAUGUGAUGCUCUCUGAUACAUUCUAUUCAUUGCCCACUAAAUUGAGUUCAUGAUCACUUAAAAAGCACUGGUCCAGAGUAAUCAAAUUAGCAAUGUUAGCACACCCAAAUUUUUAACUUUAUUUUGAAAUAACAUGAAAUGAUUUCAGACUUACAGAAAAGGGUAAAGAGUAUAUAAAGAAUUCCUGUUUACCUAGAUUCUCCACGUGAAUAUUUUGCCAUAUUUGUUAAUUCUCUCUAUAUACUUUUUUCUGAGCUGAGAAUAAGUUGUAGACAUGAUGCCUUUUACCCAUAAAUAUUUAAGUAUGUUUUCCCUUAAAAGCAAGGACAUCUUCUUACAUAAUUAUACUUUUUUCAAAAUCAGGAAAUUAAACUUGGAAAAACACAUUACCUAAUCUACAGACAAUUCAAAUCUGUACAAAUUUCACGUUCUUCCCGUUACUCCAAUAAAGUUAUUCCACUAAUACCCUUUAACACUGAUUUGUAAAAUCUAGCAAACAAGUAAGCAAACACAAAACACCACACCCCCACCACACCCCCCUCCUCUAAUAGCAUCUUAUAUAGUAGAACUGCAAUUCUCUUACUUAUUAAUGGGGGUAAAGUAAAUCUAUGACUGUUCUGAAAAUACUUGCUUUACAUCUUCCAGUCUGUUAAACAUUUUAAUUCCAUUGAUUAUAGACCUUACACUGGAAAUCUUCAAGUAACCUGGAUACAUGGCUAGCAUUUUCUACUUAAAGAGAGCAGAAUUUACCUUCAAAUCGUUCUGAAGGUGUAGCAUUGUCUGCUUGAGGUACCACUCCAUGUUCUUUUUUAAAUUUAUCAAAAGCCUUUUUGUUUAUAUCAUCUUUUUGAUGAGGGUCUGAGAAAUGAAAAAUUUUAAUACAUUUUACAUAUUACUUCAUGUAGUCUUUCAUUAAACAGCAUAGAUUUUUUUUUUUAAAUAUGCAGGCAAGGUAACAAAGAAUUGCUUUCUCAAAACUGUAACUCACCAAGUUUUUGGAGACUCUUUGCUUUGCUAAUAACAUCUUUGGCAGUUCUCUUGACUCCACAAGAAGAAUGUAUGUUCAUGUAAUUGGCAAUAACUUCCCAUCUACAGCAGCCAGUAAUGGUUAAGGGGAGAAAAAACAAACACAACAACCCUUGUAUUUUUACUGCAAAAGGUAGCUGUAGUAGCUAGAGAAUUAACUUCAAACUGGUGGUGCAAUUACUGUACUACUAAAAUUACUAUUGGCUGGACUAUUUUUGUUUUUCAUAUGUUUAAAUCGCCUGUAUUUAAUCUAUAAUCUUGGUUAAAUUUAUAAAAACCUUAUGGAUUCUCUGUUCAAAUUAACAGAAAUAAAACCAUACAAUUGUGUAUAUUACCAUUUUUACAUACUCUUAAGAAAAGAGGUAUCACUCUGAAAACAGAGCCUUAGUUUUCACAUCUAUAGAAUGAGGGAAGCUGGAUCACUAAGGUUUCUUUAAGUAUCAGAUGCAAAAUGGAAGGACUCAAGCUUUGAAGUAAGCCAGUUAGAGUUGGGAAACAAUGAAGGAUUAGGUGGCCUUCACUACUAAAAAGAAACUACUGAACACAAAACCUAGUGCCUAGAACAAGCCAUGAAAGAAGCCAACAUUUCAGUCAAGGUUUCUGUUUCAUGACCUUUAGUUUCCUGAGAAACUGAUGAAGCAUCUUGCUGUAUGUAUGUGUAUGUUUGUGUCACUGUAAUUGAUAAAACUAGCAGAUUCAAAAUGGACUUUGCUUUUCACACCUUCCACUGUGGCACAAAAUUUAGUGGAAGGUAGUCUGUCUAGAUACAAACUUAUCUCUGGAAGUAUCAGCUAUAACUGGUGCUGCUAUGUGGGUACCUGUUUACACUAUCCUCAGACUCCAAUAUCUUUUGAAGAAAAGUUUAGUUAAAACCAGUACCUUGAAUUCGUUCCAGCAGGAAAGAGGUUCACAGCUUUAAUUAGUAAUUGUAGAUCAUCUUCAGACCAAUUUUUACUGCCGUUUCCACCUCCACCAAUUGAUUUUUCAGCAUUCCUAGAUGCUUGUCGCAUACGAGCUUCAGCUUCCUCUUUCUCUUUUCUAAUUUGCUCAUUUAUUUCUUCUAUCUACACAAAUAUCAUAGGUAAGUCAGGGACUUUAAGCAUCUUGCCUACUCUACUCUCCCUUUCUGGCUGGUUCUCUGUGGUGGUCUACUCUCAGUAUUACCAUCUCUCUGACCCUAGACUCCUCCCAGAUCAACUCCAAACCAGCACCAGCUUUUCUCUCUGGCUUUUCCUCAUUCUGCCUUCUAGAUUGCAUAGCUCUGAGGAAUCAAGAACCACUCAUGCCUGACCUGCCCUGUAUUGAUGCCAUGUAACUUCUAUUUGCCUUGGACACUACUUGGCAAGCCUGCUGUCUCUAGGCCAUUUCAAACCUCUCAUAUCCACCCUUUCAGCAGAUAAUCUCAUUUCUUCCCUGCAAAAAGGUAAAGGCAUAGCAAAGUGGCCUAUGUUUUAUUCUCAGGUUUGCUCUUUACAUUGUAUCUUCCAGUCUAACGUCACAUUAUGUACAGGUGACACCUAUUAAAAACAGAAAACCUUAACUUGAUUCUGUUGCUUCUGUCAAUUGCUCAUUGGACUUAUUUUUGACUCACUUCUCCCCUACAAUCUAUCACCAAGUCCCAAUGAGUCUAGCUUUGAAAAGGUUUGUUUUGUUUCCCACUGCAACCUUCAUAGUCCAGGUCCUUAUGGUGUAAUUCCUACAACUCAUACCUGUCUAAUGCAUCCUGCUUACAAAUGCCAGAUUAAUAGUACGGUGUUGACCCUCUGCUACUCAAAAGGUCUACAGUAAUGGAAAACUGGUCAUCACAGUGUUAAAAACUCUCUUUAAUUUAGCUCUACUUUUCCAACCAACCACUUCUCCCACUAGUUUUCCCUAUAACUUUCUACUUCUGCCUCUACAGUUCAUGCUGUUUCCCUGACCCGGAAUGCUCUCCUCUUUCCUUCAUUUUAACACUCAAUGUCCUUUAAGGCCAGUUCAAACCCUUCACUGAGCCUUCCUUCACCACUUGGACUGGAGCUGAUGCUUCUCGGUCUCAUCUACAGCAUUUACUAUGGGCACUCUAUCUUUUGGUCCUUAAAGUCUUUUCUCUUCAGCAUGACUGUUCGUGAAUGCCUUUGUGUCAGCAGUAGCAUUAGGGAUUUCUCCAAAAGCACCUAGGCAAAUGCCAGACAUACAGUGGGUACUCAAAACUGAACUGAAUUGAAUUUCAGGGCCUGUUUUCCUCAUCUCUAAAAUAAAAGGUAUAGACUAGGAAAACAAAAAAACAAAAACAAAAAUCUCGUUUCUAAAUGUUUUUAUCCUUUGAAAAUGUUUAAGGAAUAAAAUUUUUUUCUAGCAACCUAGUUUUGUAACAAGUACGAUUAAAUGUGCUAGAUACCAUGUAAAUCAAACACUAUACAUGUUAACAGUCAUAAACAGUAAAUCUAACUUAAUUCAACAGUAGCACUUACCAUAAGCAAAGCAUGGUAGGAAGGACAAGACACAAAGAGGAAUAAGCCACUCUGCACUUAGUAGCUUAUAUAUUAGAUGGAGAAAGAGUGAGGUAAAAGUGAUAAUAUAAGGAGAAUUAAUACUAAAAAUGGAUGUGUUUUUCCAUUACCUGUUUUUCCAGAGCAACUUUUCCUACUUCUUUCGUAGAUGAUGUGAGUGUUUCAUUCAAGCACUGUAAGCUAAAGAAAAGCAAAGGGAUUAAACUUCAUGCCAAGCACAAUGGAAGACUUCAUUAAGAGUUCACAGGUUUUUAUUGAGCUCUCAUCAUAUGCCCAAUGUGUCAAGUAUAUGUAAGUCACACAGGAACUGAGAUAACCUCGUGGAGAUCCCACAGCUGACAACAAGACACAAGAUCGAAAGGUUUACACUCCCUGGCACGAUACUUGAGGAAAAUGUUCAAAAAUUGAUUGUGGUGAUGAAUUUACAACUAUAUGAUGGUAC